rnacentral:rRNA from 1 species
AUGCCGGCGGUGGCGUCCCUACCGCCACCGGCGCCGGGGCCGGCCGCAUUGCGUCGCCGGAGGUUCUCCCCCGCGUCGGCGUCUCUGCGUCGCGCCGCAUCCGGAGGGGGCUCGAGCUGGCGGAGCGAGCGGCGGCUCAUGUCGGAGCUGGAGCGCACGGUGACGGCGGGCGCCGCGGAGCGCGUCAUCCGCGGCUACGUCGGCACCAAGUCGGAGCGCGCCGCCCUCGCCGCGCUCUCCCGCCUCCUCAUGGACUCCGACCCCCUCGCCGUCCCCUUCUACGAAGCGGUGACCCAGGCCCGGUGGUUCAAGUGGAGCUCGAUCCACGCCGCAGCCGUCGCCGCCUUGCUCGAGGCCAACGGCGCCGCGGAGGAAUCCAGAUCCCUCAUCGCCGACUCCGCCGCGCGCCUCGAGUCCACCGCUGAGGUGGCCCUCUUCUACUGCGACCUCAUGGCGGCCUUCUCCUCGCGGGGACUGAAGCGCCGGGCCAUGGAUUUCUACUCGCAGCUCCGGGCGAUGCCGACGCCGCUCGCCGGGGGCGCCAAGACCUACAUGGCCAUGAUUAAAUCCCUAUGCAUGAUGGGCCUCGCCGCCGAGGCCGAGGAGGCGCUCCGGGAGAUGGUGUCUCUGGGGUACCAGCCUGAUGCGUUUCAGUUCGGAUUGGUGGCGAAAUGCUAUGGUAAGGCAGGCCAAUUGGCUGAGAUGGAGAGGGUGAUUGCGUCCAUGUCUGAUGCCGGCAUCCGCCUGGGCACCGGCGCGGUGAACAUUGUCCUCUCAUGCUACAGCGCUUGCCGUGACCAUGGUAAGAUGCUAAUGUGGCUGAAGAAGAUGCGAAAAUUGCGCGUCGCACCGACCACGAAAGCCUACAAUUUUGUGCUCAACUCGUGCCCGACAGUGGUGUCGAUGGCCCGUGAAUUGGGCCCUUCGCUACCGUUGUCGGCGGCGAAGUUGGUGAGGAAGCUCAAUUCUACAUCUCCAUGGCCGGCAGAAGCUGAGGUGGUGCAGGAGCUUCUGGCAGCCUCGUCAGUGUUGAACAAGGCGAUGGUUUGGUCAGAAACUGAGGUGAAGCUGAACCUACAUGGGUUCAGUAUAACUUCAGCCUAUGUGCUGAUGCUGCAGUGGGUGGACGCGGUGAAAGGGGACCGCACAUUGCCAUUGGAAGUGUCUGUGGUGUGCGGCGUCGGGAAGCACAGCAAUGUCCGGGGCGAGCCCAAAGUGCGGGAGCUGGCACAAGAGGUUCUGAGCCGGAUGGGGAGCCCUCUGCGGCUGUCCGUGAGGAACAAAGGCCGGCUCGUGGCGAAGCGAGACAGGGUGAAACAAUGGCUGGCCACUGAGUGGACUUCCAUGGUGCCUGAGGAGAGCACGGAUCAGUCACCCAAUUCAAGUGAUCAGCAACAAUUUUUGCCCAAUCUUUUAAGAAAACUCGGGCAGUUUUUUUCCUCAUUUGUGCCAGUUUCCAGAUGA